UACGUAGGGGGCAAGCGUUGUCCGGAUUUAUUGGGCGUAAAGAGCGUGUAGGCGGCCAGAUAGGUCCGUUGUGAAAACUCGAGGCUCAACCUCGAGACGCCGAUGGAAACCAUUUGGCUAGAGUCCGGAAGAGGAGAGUGGAAUUCCUGGUGUAGCGGUGAAAUGCGCAGAUAUCAGGAGGAACACCGGUGGCGAAGGCGGGACUCUGGGCCGAUACUGACACUGAGGAGCGAAAGCGUGGGGAGCAAACAGG
rnacentral:rRNA from 1 species